GACGAACGCUGGCGGCGUGCUUAACACAUGCAAGUCGAACGGAAAGGCCCUGCUUUUGUGGGGUGCUCGAGUGGCGAACGGGUGAGUAACACGUGAGUAACCUGCCCUUGACUUUGGGAUAACUUCAGGAAACUGGGGCUAAUACCGGAUAGGAGCUCCUGCUGCAUGGUGGGGGUUGGAAAGUUUCGGCGGUUGGGGAUGGACUCGCGGCUUAUCAGCUUGUUGGUGGGGUAGUGGCUUACCAAGGCUUUGACGGGUAGCCGGCCUGAGAGGGUGACCGGCCACAUUGGGACUGAGAUACGGCCCAGACUCCUACGGGAGGCAGCAGUGGGGAAUAUUGCACAAUGGGCGGAAGCCUGAUGCAGCAACGCCGCGUGCGGGAUGACGGCCUUCGGGUUGUAAACCGCUUUCGCCUGUGACGAAGCGUGAGUGACGGUAAUGGGUAAAGAAGCACCGGCUAACUACGUGCCAGCAGCCGCGGUGAUACGUAGGGUGCGAGCGUUGUCCGGAUUUAUUGGGCGUAAGGGCUCGUAGGUGGUUGAUCGCGUCGGAAGUGUAAUCUUGGGGCUUAACCCUGAGCGUGCUUUCGAUACGGGUUGACUUGAGGAAGGUAGGGGAGAAUGGAAUUCCUGGUGGAGCGGUGGAAUGCGCAGAUAUCAGGAGGAACACCAGUGGCGAAGGCGGUUCUCUAGGCCUUUCCUGACGCUGAGGAGCGAAAGCGUGGGGAGCGAACAGGCUUAGAUACCCUGGUAGUCCACGCUGUAAACGGUGGGUACUAGGUGUGGGGUCCAUUCCACGGGUUCCGUGCCGUAGCUAACGCUUUAAGUACCCCGCCUGGGGAGUACGGCCGCAAGGCUAAAACUCAAAGGAAUUGACGGGGCCCCGCACAAGCGGCGGAGCAUGCGGAUUAAUUCGAUGCAACGCGUAGAACCUUACCUGGGUUUGACAUGGAUCGGGAGUGCUCAGAGAUGGGUGUGCCUCUUUUGGGGUCGGUUCACAGGUGGUGCAUGGCUGUCGUCAGCUCGUGUCGUGAGAUGUUGGGUUAAGUCCCGCAACGAGCGCAACCCUUGUUCACUGUUGCCAGCACGUUAUGGUGGGGACUCAGUGGAGACCGCCGGGGUCAACUCGGAGGAAGGUGGGGAUGACGUCAAGUCAUCAUGCCCCUUAUGUCCAGGGCUUCACGCAUGCUACAAUGGCUGGUACAGAGAGUGGCGAGCCUGUAAGGGUGAGCGAAUCUCGGAAAGCCGGUCUCAGUUCGGAUUGGGGUCUGCAACUCGACCUCAUGAAGUCGGAGUCGCUAGUAAUCGCAGAUCAGCAACGCUGCGGUGAAUACGUUCCCGGGGCU
rnacentral:rRNA from 1 species